rnacentral:rRNA from 1 species
GGGGAAUAUUGGACAAUGGGCGCAAGCCUGAUCCAGCCAUGCCGCGUGAGUGAUGAAGGCCCUAGGGUUGUAAAGCUCUUUCACCGGUGAAGAUAAUGACGGUAACCGGAGAAGAAGCCCCGGCUAACUUCGUGCCAGCAGCCGCGGUAAUACGAAGGGGGCUAGCGUUGUUCGGAAUUACUGGGCGUAAAGCGCACGUAGGCGGAUCGGUCAGUUAGGGGUGAAAUCCCAGGGCUCAACCCUGGAACUGCCUUUAAUACUGCCGGUCUAGAGUUCGAGAGAGGUGAGUGGAAUUCCGAGUGUAGAGGUGAAAUUCGUAGAUAUUCGGAGGAACACCAGUGGCGAAGGCGGCUCACUGGCUCGAUACUGACGCUGAGGUGCGAAAGCGUGGGGAGCAAAC